UGGGGAAUAUUGCACAAUGGGGGGAAACCCUGAUGCAGCGACGCCGCGUGAGUGAAGAAGUAAUUCGUUAUGUAAAGCUCUAUCAGCAGGGAAGAAAAUGACGGUACCCGAG
rnacentral:rRNA from 1 species